AAGUUCAGGAGUGCCAUCAUUCAGUGUUCCGUUCCGUCUUGAGACACCAUGGCAAAUUAAGGUGACAAAUUGUUGGUCUUUGGUGGUGACAUUGUUUCUGAAGAUUAAGAUGCAGGGGUUCUCUUGGUGGGCAUGAGGCGUGCUGGCAAUUGUCCGCAAAGGCCCAUGACUGAAUCAAGGCUGUAAACGACAUCAAUUGGCAUGAUAAUUUGUAGAGAUGCAUGACACUAACAUAAUCUAUCUGUAUAGGAGCGAAUCUGUGGAGAGGAGUUGUGGAGCUCAUUGGAUAUCACACAUCUUGUGUUUUCCAUUUGAUAAAAGAUUGUAGCUUUCUUUUUCCUAUUAAAACAAAAAGGCCUUGUUCUGUGAUUAUUUGUGUUUAUAUGUGUCUGUUGGUUGAUGAUUUAAAUCCAUUGACCAAGUUCUUGUAAACUGGCAUGCAAAUAUACUGACAUUUCAAUUGUGUUUAAUAAGUUGAUAUUGCAACAGUA